UAGGAAUAUACCUUGAAGUGGGGGAUAACUUGGGGAAACUCAAGCUAAUACCGCAUAAGCUCUACGGAGGAAAGCUAGGGACCGCAAGGCCUGGCGCUUUAAGAAUAGCCUGCGUCCGAUUAGCUAGUUGGUAGGGUAAAGGCCUACCAAGGCGACGAUCGGUAGCUGGUCUGAGAGGAUGAUCAGCCACACUGGGACUGAGACACGGCCCAGACUCCUACGGGAGGCAG
rnacentral:rRNA from 1 species